AUUGAACGCUGGCGGCAGGCCUAACACAUGCAAGUCGAGCGGAUGACGGGAGCUUGCUCCUUGAUUCAGCGGCGGACGGGUGAGUAAUGCCUAGGAAUCUGCCUGGUAGGGGGGGACAACGUUUCGAAAGGAACGCUAAUACCGCAUACGUCCUACGGGAGAAAGCAGGGGACCUUCGGGCCUUGCGCUAUCAGAUGAGCCUAGGUCGGAUUAGCUAGUAGGUGAGGUAAGGGCUCACCUAGGCGACGAUCCGUAACUGGUCUGAGAGGAUGAUCAGUCACACUGGAACUGAGACACGGUCCAGACUCCUACGGGAGGCAGCAGUGGGGAAUAUUGGACAAUGGGCGAAAGCCUGAUCCAGCCAUGCCGCGUGUGUGAAGAAGGUCUUCGGAUUGUAAAGCACUUUAAGUUGGGAGGAAGGGCAGUAAGUUAAUACCUUGCUGUUUUGACGUUACCGACAGAAUAAGCACCGGCUAACUCUGUGCCAGCAGCCGCCGUAA
rnacentral:rRNA from 1 species